GUACACAAAAGGUGGUGCCCGACGGAAUCAUUCCGUCAAUGGCUGAGAUGAUACACAUUGCACCAGUACAGAUAAUGCUGACGCUGGGAUUUUGGUAACAUUAUGU
rnacentral:ncRNA from 1 species